rnacentral:rRNA from 1 species
CCUACGGGAGGCAGCAGUGGGGAAUAUUGGGCAAUGGGCGCAAGCCUGACCCAGCAACGCCGCGUGAAGGAAGAAGGCUUUCGGGUUGUAAACUUCUUUUCUCAGGGACGAAGCAAGUGACGGUACCUGAGGAAUAAGCCACGGCUAACUACGUGCCAGCAGCCGCGGUAAUACGUCGGUGGCAAGCGUUAUCCGGAUUUACUGGGUGUAAAGGGCGUGUAGGCGGGGACGCAAGUCAGAUGUGAAAACCACGGGCUCAACCUGUGGCCUGCAUUUGAAACUGUGUUUCUUGAGGACUGGAGAGGCAGACGGAAUUCGUGGUGUAGCGGUGAAAUGCGUAGAUAUUAGGAGGAACACCAGUGGCGAAGGCGGCCUGCUGGACCGCGACUGACGUUGAGGCUCGAAAGCGUGGGGAGCGAACAGGAUUAGAUACCCCAGUAGUC